rnacentral:rRNA from 1 species
GACGAACGCUGGCGGCGUGCUUAACACAUGCAAGUCGAACGGAAAGGCCCUGCUUUUGUGGGGUGCUCGAGUGGCGAACGGGUGAGUAACACGUGAGUAACCUGCCCUUGACUUUGGGAUAACUUCAGGAAACUGGGGCUAAUACCGGAUAGGAGCUCCUGCUGCAUGGUGGGGGUUGGAAAGUUUCGGCGGUUGGGGAUGGACUCGCGGCUUAUCAGCUUGUUGGUGGGGUAGUGGCUUACCAAGGCUUUGACGGGUAGCCGGCCUGAGAGGGUGACCGGCCACAUUGGAACUGAGAUACGGCCCAGACUCCUACGGGAGGCAGCAGUGGGGAAUAUUGCACAAUGGGCGGAAGCCUGAUGCAGCAACGCCGCGGGCGGGAUGACGGCCUUCGGGUUGUAAACCGCUUUCGCCUGUGACGAAGCGUGAGUGACGGUAAUGGGUAAAGAAGCACCGGCUAACUACGUG